rnacentral:rRNA from 1 species
GACCUGGUAGUCCACGCUGUAAACGAUGUCGACUUGGAGGUUGUUCCCUUGAGGAGUGGCUUCCGGAGCUAACGCGUUAAGUCGACCGCCUGGGGAGUACGGCCGCAAGGUUAAAACUCAAAUGAAUUGACGGGGGCCCGCACAAGCGGUGGAGCAUGUGGUUUAAUUCGAUGCAACGCGAAGAACCUUACCUACUCUUGACAUCCAGAGAACUUAGCAGAGAUGCUUUGGUGCCUUCGGGAACUCUGAGACAGGUGCUGCAUGGCUGUCGUCAGCUCGUGUUGUGAAAUGUUGGGUUAAGUCCCGCAACGAGCGCAACCCUUAUCCUUUGUUGCCAGCGGUUCGGCCGGGAACUCAAAGGAGACUGCCAGUGAUAAACUGGAGGAAGGUGGGGAUGACGUCAAGUCAUCAUGGCCCUUACGAGUAGGGCUACACACGUGCUACAAUGGCAUAUACAAAGAGAAGCGACCUCGCGAGAGCAAGCGGACCUCAUAAAGUAUGUCGUAGUCCGGAUUGGAGUCUGCAACUCGACUCCAUGAAGUCGGAAUCGCUAGUAAUCGUGGAUCAGAAUGCCACGGUGAAUACGUUCCCGGGCCUUGUACACACCGCCCGUCACACCAUGGGAGUGGGUUGCAAAAGAAGUAGGUAGCUUAACCUUC